GGUGUGUGUACUUAUUACAUAACGAAUCAAUCUUUCGCCUUUUACUAAAGAUUGCCGUGUAUUAAGUACGAUAAAUGCAUAAUACCACAAAUUUUUGUCGCGUCUUUCAGGCGCU
rnacentral:snRNA from 1 species